AUUGAACGCUGGCGGCGUGCUUAACACAUGCAAGUCGAUCGGUAACGCGGGGGCAACCCUGGCGACGAGAGGCGGACGGGUGAGGAACGCUUGGGAAUCUGCCCUUCAGCGGGGGACAACACGGGGAAACUCGUGCUAAUACCGCAUACGCUCCACGGAGGAAAGCCGGGGACCGCAAGGCCUGGCACUGAAGGAUGAGCCCAAGUCGGAUUAGCUAGUUGGCGGGGUAACGGCCCACCAAGGCGACGAUCCGUAGCUGGUCUGAGAGGACGAUCAGCCACACGGGGACUGAGACACGGCCCAGACUCCUACGGGAGGCAGCAGUGGGGAAUAUUGGACAAUGGGGGAAACCCUGAUCCAGCGACGCCGCGUGGGUGAAGAAGGCCUGCGGGUUGUAAAGCCCUUUCGGUAGGGACGAAAGCUCUCGACCUAACACGUCGGGAGGUUGACUUAACCUACAAAAGAAGCACCGGCUAACUCUGUGCCAGCAGCCGCGGUAACAC
rnacentral:rRNA from 1 species